rnacentral:ncRNA from 1 species
UGUCUCCUCCACCCUCCUCCUUUGGUGGAUUUAGCCCAAAGUUGCAAAACUUUGGGCUUUUUUUU